GAACUUUCCAGAGAUGGACUGGUGCCUUCGGGAACUGUGAGACAGGUGCUGCAUGGCUGUCGUCAGCUCGUGUUGUGAAAUGUUGGGUUAAGUCCCGCAACGAGCGCAACCCUUAUCCUUUGUUGCCAGCGAUUAGGUCGGGAACUCAAAGGAGACUGCCAGUGAUAAACUGGAGGAAGGUGGGGAUGACGUCAAGUCAUCAUGGCCCUUACGACCAGGGCUACACACGUGCUACAAUGGCGCAUACAAAGAGAAGCGACCUCGCGAGAGCAAGCGGACCUCAUAAAGUGCGUCGUAGUCCGGAUUGGAGUCUGCAACUCGACUCCAUGAAGUCGGAAUCGCUAGUAAUCGUGGAUCAGAAUGCCACGGUGAAUACGUUCCCGGGCCUUGUACACACCGCCCGUCACACCAUGGGAGUGGGUUGCAAAAGAAGUAGGUAGCUUAACCUUCGGGAGGGCGCUUACCACUUUGUGAUUCAUGACUGGGGUGAAGUCGUAACAAGGUAACCGUAGGGGAACCUGC
rnacentral:rRNA from 2 species